CCUGAGGGAAUUCUGCGCCAAAAAAUUAAAAAUUAUGCACACAAUAUUUCAAAAUUCUGCAAAUUUUAUUUGUCAAUAAAUAAAUGUAGCUCCAGCAUGGCAGUAGGGAGUACAGGCCACAGGCUGCAUUGAGGUGGAAGAUCACCCUGAAGCUCCCAGCUCCCUAGGUAUGCUGCAGGGAGGC